CAUAGGUUAAUGAGGCGAACCGGGGGAACUGAAACAUCUAAGUACCCCGAGGAAAAGAAAUCAACCGAGAUUCCCCCAGUAGCGGCGAGCGAACGGGGAGCAGCCCAGAGCCUGAAUCAGUAUGUGUGUUAGUGGAAGCGUCUGGAAAGGCGCGCGAUACAGGGUGACAGCCCCGUACACAAAAAUGCACAUGCUGUGAGCUCGAUGAGUAGGGCGGGACACGUGGUAUCCUGUCUGAAUAUGGGGGGACCAUCCUCCAAGGCUAAAUACUCCUGACUGACCGAUAGUGAACCAGUACCGUGAGGGAAAGGCGAAAAGAACCCCGGCGAGGGGAGUGAAAAAGAACCUGAAACCGUGUACGUACAAGCAGUGGGAGCACGCUUAGGCGUGUGACUGCGUACCUUUUGUAUAAUGGGUCAGCGACUUAUAUUCUGUAGCAAGGUUAACCGAAUAGGGGAGCCGAAGGGAAACCGAGUCUUAACUGGGCGUUAAGUUGCAGGGUAUAGACCCGAAACCCGGUGAUCUAGCCAUGGGCAGGUUGAAGGUUGGGUAACACUAACUGGAGGACCGAACCGACUAAUGUUGAAAAAUUAGCGGAUGACUUGUGGCUGGGGGUGAAAGGCCAAUCAAACCGGGAGAUAGCUGGUUCUCCCCGAAAGCUAUUUAGGUAGCGCCUCGUGAAUUCAUCUCCGGGGGUAGAGCACUGUUUCGGCAAGGGGGUCAUCCCGACUUACCAACCCGAUGCAAACUGCGAAUACCGGAGAAUGUUAUCACGGGAGACACACGGCGGGUGCUAACGUCCGUCGUGAAGAGGGAAACAACCCAGACCGCCAGCUAAGGUCCCAAAGUCAUGGUUAAGUGGGAAACGAUGUGGGAAGGCCCAGACAGCCAGGAUGUUGGCUUAGAAGCAGCCAUCAUUUAAAGAAAGCGUAAUAGCUCACUGGUCGAGUCGGCCUGCGCGGAAGAUGUAACGGGGCUAAACCAUGCACCGAAGCUGCGGCAGCGACGCUGAUGCGUUGUUGGGUAGGGGAGCGUUCUGUAAGCCUGCGAAGGUGUGCUGUGAGGCAUGCUGGAGGUAUCAGAAGUGCGAAUGCUGACAUAAGUAACGAUAAAGCGGGUGAAAAGCCCGCUCGCCGGAAGACCAAGGGUUCCUGUCCAACGUUAAUCGGGGCAGGGUGAGUCGACCCCUAAGGCGAGGCCGAAAGGCGUAGUCGAUGGGAAACAGGUUAAUAUUCCUGUACUUGGUGUUACUGCGAAGGGGGGACGGAGAAGGCUAUGUUGGCC
rnacentral:rRNA from 1 species